CUUUUUUUUGUUGCUUCUAUUUGUGUGUUAUGUAGUUUGGGCGUCCAUUGUAUGGAGAUGUCUUUGGCGUGCAGUAGCAAGAUCAGACUAACUAUGAGGAUGAGCCUAUUGAUAAGAGCAAGCACUAAAUGUUGAGGCACCGGAUGCAAUUGAACUUCGUAAGUAGCAGAGAAGAGAAAGGAACCAGAUAUGCCUCUAUAUCAAGGUAAUUGAAGAAAAGAGAGAGAGUGUUGCUACUGGAACAAUGUUGGGAACCACACACACGCAUGCGUUACUAAAACUGGUACUCAAGACAAGCCGGGAGGGAAAAGGGUUGAUUUGCUUAGAGGGCAAAAGACAGAUCGUGUGGAUAUCAGUUUACAGCCAGAAGAGCUGGACGCCAUGGAGAAUAUUUUACCUGCCGAGUAAGUAGUAAGAACCACUACAACAUGUGAAUUAAAAGCCAUUGAAAAACUAACUUUAACUUUAUACCUACAUUUUGAUUUUUGGACGGUAUGAGGAGGCAAGAGAAGAGGAGAAACUACGCAAUAAGACAAAGGAGUUCAGUGACAUGGUCGCCAUGGUAACUAAUGAUUGUAUUUGGGACCCUUUUUAUCUUUACUUGGUGGAAUGGUUACAGAACUCGGAGAAAAGGAAGCGUGAUAAGGAAAGGAAGAAAAAGAAGGAUUUCAAAUUUUGAGGAAAGCUUCUUCUUGUUUAUCUGUGAAUUCUAGAUUCUGGAAUCUGGACAUGUCCUGAGGAUGUGUUUUGCUUUACUUAACACUUAACACUGAGAGAGAGGGAGACUGAGGUAGAAAAUCUUUUGAGAUUAGAAAACCUAAAUACUAUGGAUUCUAGAUAUUCUUGUGUUACCUCAAGUCAUCACAUUCAAAGUCAA